GGGAUGAUACAGUUUUCUUUGUUUUUUAUCUAGCUUGGAGCACAACAUAAUUUUUGUAGAAUGUUGAUGAACAGGUUUGGAAGAGUUUCCAAAUAGUGUUUCUAAGAAUUCAUGAGUGCAUAAUAGUUAUCUUUUGGGGCAUUACAGUACAGUUAUAGAAAUAGUAUGGGAAGUGUCACUUGGUAUUUCAAUAAACCUUACAGUAAGAU
rnacentral:lncRNA from 1 species